rnacentral:rRNA from 1 species
GAGUUUGAUCGUGGCUCAGGACGAACGCUGGCGGCGUGCUUAAUACAUGCAAGUCGAGCGAGGUUACUGGAGUGGAGCCCUUCGGGGUGAAGCUGCUUUAACCUAGCGGCGGACGGGUGAGUAACGCGUGGGUAACCUACCCCAAAGUCCGGGAUAACAGCGGGAAACCGCUGCUAAUACCGGAUGCCUUUACCUUGGGGCAUCUUGAGGUAAAGAAAGGCAACGCUUUGGGAUGGGCCCGCGUCCCAUUAGCUAGUUGGUGAGGUAACGGCUCACCAAGGCGACGAUGGGUAGCCGGCCUGAGAGGGUGGACGGCCACACUGGGACUGAGACCGGCCCAGACUCCUACGGGAGGCAGCAGUAGGGAAUAUUGCGCAAUGGACGGAAGUCUGACGCAGCGACGCCGCGUGAGCGAUGAAGGCCUUCGGGUCGUAAAGCUCUGUCCUUGGGGAAGAAGGCGAAAGCUUGACGGUACCCAAGAAGAAAGCCCCGGCUAACUACGUGCCAGCAGCCGCGGUAAUACGUAGGGGGCGAGCGUUGUCCGGAAUUACUGGGCGUAAAGGGUGCGUAGGCGGCCCUUUAAGUCAGAUGUGAAAGGCUGCGGCUUAACCGCAGAACUGCAUUUGAAACUGGAGGGCUUGAGUGUCGGAGAGGGUAGUGGAAUUCCCGGUGUAGCGGUGAAAUGCGUAGAUAUUGGGAGGAACACCAGUGGCGAAGGCGACUACCUGGACGAUAACUGACGCUGAGGCACGAAAGCUAGGGGAGCAAACAGGAUUAGAUACCCUGGUAGUCCUAGCCGUAAACGAUGGGUACUAGGUGUAGGUGGUUUCGAUACCAUCUGGUGCCGUAGUUAACGCAUUAAGUACCCCGCCUGGGGAGUACGGGUCGCAAGACUGAAACUCAAACGAAUUGACGG